ACCAUGACUUUGGGACCUUAGCUGGCGGUCUGGGUUGUUUCCCUCUUCACGACGGACGUUAGCACCCGCCGUGUGUCUCCCGUGAUAACAUUCUCCGGUAUUCGCAGUUUGCAUCGGGUUGGUAAGUCGGGAUGACCCCCUUGCCGAAACAGUGCUCUACCCCCGGAGAUGAAUUCACGAGGCGCUACCUAAAUAGCUUUCGGGGAGAACCAGCUAUCUCCCGGUUUGAUUGGCCUUUCACCCCCAGCCACAAGUCAUCCGCUAAUUUUUCAACAUUAGUCGGUUCGGUCCUCCAGUUAGUGUUACCCAACCUUCAACCUGCCCAUGGCUAGAUCACCGGGUUUCGGGUCUAUACCCUGCAACUUAACGCCCAGUUAAGACUCGGUUUCCCUUCGGCUCCCCUAUUCGGUUAACCUUGCUACAGAAUAUAAGUCGCUGACCCAUUAUACAAAAGGUACGCAGUCACACGCCUAAGCGUGCUCCCACUGCUUGUACGUACACGGUUUCAGGUUCUUUUUCACUCCCCUCGCCGGGGUUCUUUUCGCCU
rnacentral:rRNA from 1 species